rnacentral:lncRNA from 13 species
CUCUUCCCCGCCCACACCCCCGCCCCCGGGCCGCCCCCCGCCGUGUCCCUCCCACUGCCCGCCUGAUCCCGGUGCCGGCACCUGCCCGCUCCCUGCUUCUGCUCCGCAGCCACCUUUCCGCACACCUGUCCCCUUUUCACGCACCUGUGCCCAGCAGCCCGCACACCUGUCUACUCGCCAGCGGUCCGCGAAGUUCAGCGCCGCCCUCCCUCUAGCGUGGAACCGCCCCACCCACCUGUCCGUGACCGCGGCGCCGGCCAGGAGGGCGGCAGGUGGGCCCCGGCGCUCCAUGCUCCUUGUGGACAGGGCUGCGGCGGGGGCGCAGGACGUUGUGCCGCCGGGAGGACCACGCAGCGGUCCCGGGACCCUUCCCCGGGGCAGAGCGGCAGCUGCGCCACCGAGGGCAGGACGGGUGGGCAGGGUGCACCUCCACCUCCACCCGCCCUCGCGACGCCCACGCUGGCCCAGAGACAGGAUUUGGGUUGGAGAACGCUGGGCUGGGAACGAGCGGCUUGGGAUGGCCGGGUUGUUGGGCCUUGAGGAGUCCCAGACCCUGACAGCUGGCGCCCCCCACGCCCCGCCCAGCUCUCCUCGGCCCGGGGGACACCGGCUGCGAGGCCUCUCCAGUUUCAGUCUUCCCUGGGAGGGCUUCCCGGAAGAGAGGGCUUCUGACCCCAGAAAGAGGCUGCUCUGGGGAUGGAGAAGGUGCUGGGUGCUGACCCCCGCGGAGUUAGGGGUGUGAGGCGGGAGGUGGGCAGGCCUUGGGGCUUGUGUCAAGGGGGCUUCGAGACGCGGCAGGAUGCGGGGGGCCACGGGGCGGCUGGAGGGCGGCCUGGAAGCCCUGCGUGCUGGCCCCGAGCCGGGGUGUCGAGCGAGGCGCGUGGAGGAAGAGGCGCAAAGAGCGAGGCGCGCGUCCCUAGCAGGUGAGAGGCGGGAGGCCUCAAGUGGGAACGUACCUGCGGCCGAGGGCACCGGGGAACCCGAGACAUACCCCCCCGCCCGGGUCAGGACCUCUGCCUGCAUCGCCGAGGCGGUCUCCACCAUCCCAGCCCCGGCAGCUUCGCUGGGCGAGGCCAGGCUUCUCCCUUCUGCUCCCGGAGACCCCCCCCGGGGCGCGGACCUGGAGGCCUUGAAGCGCCUGGAGCCGUCCCGUUCGCCUCCUUCUGAGCAAGCAGAGAGCGGUCCAGGCCGGGAACAGGGCUGCGCAGAGGUCAGGCGGCCGCGCGCCCGGCCGGAGCCUGCCCUGGGGGUCCCGGGGAUGCCCCGGGAGGUGGGUACCCAGACCCGAGCGCGCACGAGCGCAGGUGUGGGGAGGGCGCGGCGGCUCCCGGCCAGUCCUAGGGGCCUGCGGGACCCAAGGGCGCGCGGGCGGGGCCGGGAGCGCGGCGAGGCCGGGCGGGGGCGGGGCCGCGCCGGGGGAAGCCGCCCGCCCGCGGGGCCGCCUGCACCGCGAGGGUUAAGGCCAGGAGCCCGGCGGGGCGGGGGCGGUGCGCGCGCGCGGAUUGGGGAAAAGUUUGGCGGCGGGGCGGGGCGCGGGGCGGGCCGACGCGCGCGGAUUGGCCGGAAGUUGUGCCGGGGGCGGGGCGCGCGGCGGGCUCGGCGCUCGCUCCGGGAGAGUUGACAAAGCCCCGCAGGGAAGGACGCCUCGCGGCGCGGCGCCCCGGGCCCCUCGCCCCGCCGCCCCGGGACCCCGGCCCCGGCCUCCGGCCCGCGGACUCGCCCCCCGCCGCCCGCCCGGCCCGAGACCCCGCGCCCCGAGCGCCAGAGCCCGGACCCCGACCCGGCCGGAGCCGCCCUCGCCCAGGUAGCGCCGCCCCGCCCCGAGGCCGGGCCCGGGGGCGCUGGGCGGUGGGAUGCGGCGUCCGGGGCGGCGAUGAUCGCGGAGCGCGUGCUGCGGGCCCGGCCGUGACCCCGCUGCCCGCCCGCCGAGGUGAGCCCCCCGCGCGCGUCCGCGACCCCAGGUGGGCAGACCGGGGAGGGGCGGGGGUCCAGGGCGGGGGCGGGGGCGGGGCGGGUCCGGAGCCCCCGCUGCGCGGCCGCUGGGCACGGGUCACGCGCGCCGCCGCCGCCGCCGCUCCCACGGGCCCCCGGCCUGCCUCGCCCCCGCCCCCGCGCCCCACGUCCCACGUGGGCCCCCCCAGCUCAAAUUUGUCCGCUAAUGGCGCAGGCGAUUAUCUGCGGGGCGCUGGGUGUUGUGUGUCCUGCGGGCAGGGCCGGAGUUACAAGUGCCAGGAAUCCAGACGGUGUUUGGAGCGGGAGGGAGGCGGGGGAGCCCGGUAAUUAGUGUAAACCCUUUGUCUGCCUUUGAUACCCACAGCUUCUCCCCGCAGCGGCUUCCUCCGCCUGGAGCGCGGGCGGGGAGGGCCUGUGGGGGGGGACAGACCCCUGAUCCCCGAGGCCUGGGACCCGGGUGGUGGCGGCUUUGCGGCCCCGGGCCGGGCCGGAGGGCAGUAUCCUCCAGUUCCGCGCCUGGGUGAC